rnacentral:rRNA from 1 species
CCUACGGGGCGCACCAGUGGGGAAUAUUGCACAAUGGGCGCAAGCCUGAUGCAGCCAUGCCGCGUGUGUGAAGAAGGCCUUCGGGUUGUAAAGCACUUUCAGCGGGGAGGAAGGCAUUAAGGUUAAUAACCUUAGUGAUUGACGUUACCCGCAGAAGAAGCACCGGCUAACUCCGUGCCAGCAGCCGCGGUAAUACGGAGGGUGCAAGCGUUAAUCGGAAUUACUGGGCGUAAAGCGCACGCAGGCGGUCUGUCAAGUCGGAUGUGAAAUCCCCGGGCUCAACCUGGGAACUGCAUCUGAUACUGGCAAGCUUGAGUCUCGUAGAGGGGGGUAGAAUUCCAGGUGUAGCGGUGAAAUGCGUAGAGAUCUGGAGGAAUACCGGUGGCGAAGGCGGCCCCCUGGACGAAGACUGACGCUCAGGUGCGAAAGCGUGGGGAGCAAACAGGAUUAGAUACCCGCGUAGUC